rnacentral:tRNA from 1 species
AUUUAAGUAGUUUAAUUAAAACAUUGAUUUGUGAUAUCAAAAAUAUAAUAAUUUAUCUUAGAUA